CCUACGGGAGGCAGCAGUGGGGAAUAUUGCACAAUGGGGGAAACCCUGAUGCAGCGACGCCGCGUGAGUGAAGAAGUAAUUCGUUACGUAAAGCUCUAUCAGCAGGGAAGAAACACUGACCUUACGGUCAGCAGACGGUACCUGAGUCAGAAGCCCCGGCUAACUACGGGCCAGCAGCCGCGGUAAUACGUAGGGUGCAAGCGUUAUCCGGAUUUAGUGGGUGUAAAGGGAGCGUCGGCGGUGCGCUAAGUCUGGAGUGAAAUGCCGCAGCUUAACUGCGGAACUGCUUUGGAUACUGGCGAACUAGAGUGAGAGAGAGGUAAGCGGAAUUCCAAGUGAAGCGGUGAAAUGCGUAGAUAUUAGGAGGAACACCGGUGGCGAAGGUGGCUUACUGGACCGUAACUGACGUUGAGGCUCGAAAGCGUGGGGAGCAAACAGGAUUAGAUACCCCAGUAGUC
rnacentral:rRNA from 1 species